rnacentral:lncRNA from 1 species
UGAAUAAAGUUGUUUUUUUAAUGAGUUAUUUUGAUUUUUAGCUAAUUAGGUGAAAAUACGUUUCACCCAUUAACGCUAAAAAAAAAAGUAGACUAAUAUGUUACUCUAUAUAUUAAUGGAAAAAAAAUUUACUCACAUUUUCACGUUUUUAUUUUUUCUUAUUUUUACUAUUUUAUCCCUCUCUUUCACUCUAUUAUUUACCAAUCAAAUUCUAUGGCUCUGAUUGAAAAGCACAUCCAGCGAUAAUAAUUUGGAGUAAAAAAAUGUUCUGCUGAGUUACACUGAUUUCUAGUCAAUCAGGCUUUCACCCAUC